CCGCCUGCCUGCCUGCCUCCCUGCCUCCGUGCGCUCCGCGUCGCUGCGCGCUUUCAGAGGGGCGGUGCAGCCCGGGCGCUCACCUGGCAACGGGAAAGCCCGGCCCUCCCCCCGCCCUAGGCCCGCCCACUCCUCUGCCCCCCGCCCCUGCCGACCCGAACGCACCACGGCCCGCCACCGCCCCCUCGGCUGGUCCCCCGGUUCUGUAGGGCUCGGCUCUUCCAUGCCGCAGCCACCUCUUGGCGGUGCGGGGAGGGCAGGGGACAGGGCUGAGGCCUCCCCUCUGACACCCCCCAGCCUCUCAGGACUGGGAGAGCCUGAGGGAGGUUGGCAAAAAACGUUAUUGAAAUGCCUGCACGUUGCCUCUUCACAUGAAUCUGAUGGUUCUGAGUGACAGCCUGGGAAAAGACCCUGCUGAGACAAGGAAGAGCACUGAAAUCCACCUGGCUGAGAAGCAAGUGCCAUCAGCUGUCCCAAGUAAUAAAACCUAGAGUCAGCUGCAUAAAUUUCUAUGAAGACUUCUAAAAAGUACCUACAAGACACCUGCACCUCAGCAUGAAAGUCACUUCACAGUAACACUGGCGUCUGACCUCAAGGACCACACGAGAAGGCAGAAUCCUCACUGUGCUGGCACUCAGCUCUUAUCUUCUGGAAAAAAAAGUAAAAGCAAUUUGGUCUGCAGUAUUGGAGGAAAAUAUGCAGCUGGCACUGAUGUUUGGAUAGACACGACCUGACUGAUGACAGAAGUGCAGGAAUCAGACAGAACAUGAAGGUGGAUCCACAAUAUAAAAAAAGAUUUUAAGUUACUUGAAAGCAUCCAGAGGAGGGCAACAAAGCUGGUAGAAGUGCUGCAGGGCAUGUCCUAUGAGGAGAGGCUGAGGACACUUGGAUUGUCUAGUCU